UGAUUAACACUUUUCAGUAAAAUAACAACGGCAACAAUCGGAAAAAAUUCUAAGAGUGCCUGGGAGCAAAGCAAUUGAAUUGUUCCAGCAUUUUCUUAAAUGGAACCCAGAGGCAUUAAUUAUAAUGUAUGUUUCUUCAGGCAAGCUAUACACAUUUGCUAUUGAAAUUUACCACAUUAAUGCCUGCAGUAUUAGGAAACAUGGUGGGCCCUCAUGGGAUGGAGGAAAGUGCACUGGACUUGUAAUCAGAACAUCUGGCUUGGGCCCUGGCACUAUACCGCUUCUGUGUCUUAGACCAUAUAAGGUGAGUUCCUUUGUUUUCCU
rnacentral:lncRNA from 1 species